GUCGAGGGGUAUAGUUCUUCGGAACUAGAGACCGGCGCACGGGUGCGUAACGCGUAUGCAAUCUACCUUUCACAAAGGGAUAGCCCAGAGAAAUUUGGAUUAAUACCUUAUAGUAAUACGACUUGGCAUCAAGAUGUAUUUAAAGAUUUAUCGGUGAAAGAUGAGCAUGCGUCCCAUUAGCUAGUUGGUAAGGUAACGGCUUACCAAGGCAACGAUGGGUAGGGGUCCUGAGAGGGAGAUCCCCCACACUGGUACUGAGACACGGACCAGACUCCUACGGGAGGCAGCAGUGAGGAAUAUUGGACAAUGGGCGCAAGCCUGAUCCAGCCAUGCCGCGUGCAGGAUGACGGUCCUAUGGAUUGUAAACUGCUUUUAUACAGGAAGAAACACUCGGACGUGUCCGAGCUUGACGGUACUGUAGGAAUAAGGAUCGGCUAACUCCGUGCCAGCAGCCGCGGUAAUACGGAGGAUCCAAGCGUUAUCCGGAAUCAUUGGGUUUAAAGGGUCCGUAGGCGGUCAGAUAAGUCAGUGGUGAAAGCCCAUCGCUCAACGGUGGAACGGCCAUUGAUACUGUCUGACUUGAAUUAUUAGGAAGUAACUAGAAUAUGUAGUGUAGCGGUGAAAUGCUUAGAGAUUACAUGGAAUACCAAUUGCGAAGGCAGGUUACUACUAAUAUAUUGACGCUGAUGGACGAAAGCGUGGGUAGCGAACAGGAUUA
rnacentral:rRNA from 1 species